AGAGUCAGAAAUGUGGGUAAAAAUGAGGAGAUCCCUGAGGGGCUGAAGAGAUACCAGGCAACAUACACGGAGGUCAAACAAAAUAUUAAGAAAAGCCAGGACAAAGUCUGCAAACGACAAGAUGAGAAGGGCCAGGAGGACCACUUCAAAGUGGGGGAUAUGGUAUUGUGAAAAAAUAUAAGACAGGAGCAGAGGAAAGGGGGAAAAAUGGACCCUGACAUGCUGGGACCCUUCAUAAUUUCAAAACUGGAGGGGAAAAGUGCAGAUCUGGUGUCAGACAGGGGCAAGUGUUCACUUAGAGUGAACAUAGACCAUCUUCUACUUAUGUCCAACCAGAAGAGAGGAUCCCUGCCAAUUUACAAAAAGUGUUAGAUCCUUCUCCUCUGGCUGGCCCAACGCACACUACACCACAACAGACACAUACAGACAUACACAGACCGACAUCUGACAGGCCAGCCACAAGCCACAAUGUCCCAGAACCUCCAAGUGCCACAGAAAUUUUUAUCAGGGAUUUAUGGGCAGGGAGAAAAAGAGAGACUCUAUUCUCCAGGAUUGGGCCAUACAAGGUGUACAGCGAGAACUUAUUGGACCUGGCCCCAGGAUAGGAGUUGGGGAGUGAAACUUUCUUUUUUUAUUUUUUAAAGAAAUAUUAUUGGUGUGAUAUUUCACUUUCUAGAUUGUUUGGACAACAGCGGAUCAUAAGUCAUUCUUAUACUCAUAGAUUGUGAACGCCUACCUCUCGCUUGUGGGGAGGAGAACGGAGGCUUCCAUUAUUGAUGCCUACACGAUGACUGCAGUCUGGCAGGGCUCAAAGAAAGGUUUUAAAAAGUUGGACCUUUCCAAAUAUGAUGUGGCAGCAGGUGCGGUUUGUCACAACAGACACUGGACACUCAUUGU